rnacentral:ncRNA from 1 species
GGCAGAAAAAGGCAAACUCAUUGAAAAAUGGGGACGCAAAGUCACAGGUCUAAAGUAUUAAUAGUAAAUCACUUUCCGAUAAGACUACAUAU